AUUGAACGCUGGCGGCAGGCCUAACACAUGCAAGUCGAGCGAGCGGCGGACGGGUGAGUAAUGUCUGGGAAACUGCCCGAUGGAGGGGGAUCACUACUGGAAACGGUAGCUAAUACCGCAUACCCUCGGAUGUGCCCAGCUGGGAUUAGCUAGUAGGUGGGGUAACGGCUCACCUAGGCGACGAUCCCUAGCUGGUCUGAGAGGAUGACCAGCAACACGGGAACGGAGACACGGUCCAGACUCCUACGGGAGGCAGCAGUGGGGAAUAUUGCAAAAUGGGCGAAAGCCUGAUACAGCCAUGCCGCGUGUAUGAAGAAGGCCUUCGGGUUGUAAAGUACUUUAAGCGAGGAGGCGUUACUCGCAGAAGAAGCACCGGCUAACUCCGUGCCAGCAGCCGCGGUAAUAC
rnacentral:rRNA from 1 species